UCAGCCCCAGCUAUGAGCUGAGGAAGUACCGUGAACCUUUUUCACGGGUUAGCGUUUCACGCUGCUCUCUCUCUCUCUCUCAAAACGGAGUACAUGGCUUGUGCAGUGGGAGGAGGAGGAAGCAUGUGUCGGUCGUCGUUCCACAAACACUUCUCUUCUCAACCUCAAGUCCUUCUCCCCAGAACUGAAACUGGAGGCAUUUAUGUGAUAGUGGCGAUGAAGGUGCCUGGAAGAGAAGGAUUCUCUGCUUUUCCAAACUUAAGCAGGAGGAGAAUUAGUAUCAAGCUACAGAAAGCAAAUACAGCAGAUAAUUAUGUGAAGAAAGCUAGUUUGUUUGCAAGUAAGAAGGAAAGAAUUAAGCUGCAGAAUUAUGCUGACGUUUCUGGGGGCAAGGCACAUCACAUAAGUGAAUUCCUUACUCACCAAUCUGGAGUUGAAACAGUCUUGAACAAAAGCGCCUUGCAAAAUUUUCAAACCCUUGAUUCAAAUAUAUACAGGUGCACCUUGCCAAAAAUUCAUUUUCUAAACUUUGAAGUGGCUCCCAUCCUGGACUUACGUGUAACCCCAACAAGUGAAGAUUGUACAAUCGAAAUGUUAUCUUGCAAGUUUGAGGGUUCUGACAUCUUGGAGCGCCAAAAUAGCCAUUUUUCAGCAUCGAUGAAAAACCACAUUACAUGGGACACUAAUGAGUCUGAGCCAUUUUUGGAUGUCGACGUGAAGUUGAAUCUCACUCUUGAGAUUUACACACUGCCAUUAGCCCUGCUGCCUACCUCUGCUGUUGAGGGCCCAGGAAAUUUUUGUUUAUAGCCAGAAGCACUACAUAAACCAAUUCAAGCAAUUAGAAGUGUGGUGGCAUACAGAAUGAUGCAAGCUCUAGUGGAUCGGCUCGUACCCUUGCUUCUACAACAGUUAUCGCAAGAUUAUGACAAAUGGGUUCAACAGCAAUUGUUGAUGUCUUCCGUACAUUCGAGUCCCCUCAUAUUUUGAUGCAACACAAAACAAAAUAAAUAUAUUAGAAGGUGAGAGCGCUACCAAUCAAUCUUUCUACCUUGAUGUUUGUUUGAGAUUGCAGGACUUCUUUGCUUGAGCAGUGGAUAUUUUGGUAAGACUUGGAAACCCCUUAGCGUAUUGAGAAGCUUAGAGGUGGGAGCUGACGUGCAAAUAUGAUGUUUCUUGUUAUUGGUGUUUUAUUUUAUCAAACUACAUGGUUAAAUAGUAAUUAAAAUUUGUGAUUAUCAAGUGUUGAUAAUGUACAUUAUUUUCCGAGUGAAUUAAGCUUGAUAAAUAUAGAUGCAAUGAAUUGAAAAUUGGAAAUUGAAUUUCCAACUA